UUGCCAUUUAAAAUGUAUUUAGCCUAUUUUUAGUUAGCAUGAAGGGGUUUACCUACCAUUGCUCAGGGCUAUGAAGGUUGGGCUAAGACUCAGGAGACCCUGAUUCAAUCCAAAGUGUUCUUUGUGACAGUGGAAAAGUCUUAAUUUGUGCUGAUAGCUCACUGGCCUGAUGGCGAAUUAUUCCUUGCUGUAAGGCAGGGAUUCCAUUAGCUGUAAAGUGCUCAAAAUCGGCUACUUAAAAAACAUCAGUGUUUUCUCAGGUUUUAUUAUUAAUAUAUGUCACUAAUAACAAUUUACAUCAGACUUAUUCACUGAUAACUAGAGGCCCUUAAAUCAAAACAUUACACAAUGUGCAACAUAUAUAUCUUUGCCCCUCUUUCAUGAAUUCUUUUAAACAUCUAAGUCUGACCUAAUUCAAAAUUAUAUAUCUCAGGUAUGUAUCUCAGAUUAAAACAUGUUUCAGACCCACUGGAAAAGUUAUGAUACUAAAGACCUCCUUUUUAUUAUUUCCCCUCACAACUUCACCUUGCAACACUUUCUUAAUUGCAAAACAAUUUUGGCUUGAACUUCUGUGUCUCAGUCUGCUGUACUGUGACCUAAAGAACAGUACAUACACAUGCAGAAAUUAACUGGUCCCUUAGGAGUACUCUUGUGCUGGAGAGUGAAGGAGGAGAAGGCAGAUUUGCAAAUAGCUAUAUUUUCUUUCACCAACUUAAUUGCUUCUGUUUGGAACUUUUAAAAUCUCACCUUACCAUGCAGUCAUUUUCAAAGUGAGCACAGCAUGAGUGACCCAAAAAAAAUCUGUUUGCUUUUUUAUUAUAAUUUUGGUUGUGAUAUUUUAUUAGUGGAGGCUGCAACACCUCAGAGGAGUAACAGUCGGCUGGUUGUGGCACUUCUGGCAUUUCCUAGAUUAUACUCUGAUUAACUCUGCUAUAUUAAUAAAGACCUUUUAAUAUGCUUUUGUGAGAGUAAUUUCCUAGGGAUUUCAGGGAAGCAUAUUGAAAAACAAACUGCAUCACACAGCAUCACACUGACACUUCUGUGAGUCGUCAGAGUUGGACCUUUGGAUCUCUAGCAGGCAGAGCAUGUCUCUGAAGCUGUGGAACGACCUUGACAGAGCAAGCAGUGCUUACCAGGCAUAAGUAUCUCUGCUGAGGGCAUGGCAAAGGCCAGGGGAUCCUGUCAACACAGCUGAAAGAUACUGCUACUCAACAGGAGCUUCCUUGGUGCAACAGAAAGCUUUACUAUAGGAAUGAAGGUCUGGAACUUCUGCAUGGCUGUCAAGAGAGACCAAGUUGGCAACGGGUCAGAACAAUAUAUUUCCUGAACAGAACCUACACCAAUGGACAUCUGAUCACACAAAAGUCUUGUAUAUUCCAGCCCCAAUGCACUGUAUCAGAAAUACUUCUGCUGCUCUGUAUUUCCCGUUUCU